rnacentral:rRNA from 1 species
GCGAGCGUUAAUCGGAAUUACUGGGCGUAAAGACGCAUGCAGGUGGUUUGUUUAAGUCAGAUGUGAAAGACCCGGGGCGUCAACCUCCGGAAUUGCAUUUGUAAACUAGGCAGACUAGAGUACUGUAGAGGGGGGUAGGAAUUUCUAGGUGUAGCGGUGAAAUAGCGUAGAGAUCUGAAGGAAUACCGGUGGCGAAGGCGGCCCCCUCGGACAGAUACUGACACUCAGAUGCGAAAGCGUGGGGAGCAAACAGGAUUAGAUACCCUGGUAG